UCUCUGGAGGACUAGGGGCUAGGCCUCGGCGCGCUCACUGCUGCAGCCCGGGUUCGAUUCCUGGCCAGGGAA